UAUCCAUAUUCCUAUCAUCUCCCUAUCGUCUCAGUUCCAACCCGCCUCAAGCCCUCACUCCCUCUCUUCCACCUCUUCACCCUCGCAGAAUACUGAAGCUCUUCCACCAUCGCAGAAGACUGAAGCUCUUCCACCCUCUUCCAUCGUCGCAGAAUAUUGAGACUCUUCCACCCUCUUCCAUCAGCACAAGCUGAAUGACCCAAUCGUUCCAACAUCGACUCUUACUCUUCAGGUACAACAAUAUUUUUAUUUUUUCAAAAUUUUAGGAAUUAUGCCUCUUUCUUCGAUUUUUAGAGAACCCCCAUCUUCGAUUUGACAUUCAUAUAACCCAGUUAAUGAUCCACACCCUAGUUUUGGUCCAUUUUUCUUUUGAUUGUUUCAGAUCUGGACACAUAUAUAUGCUAUUUGCAAUUUGUGUUCAUUUUAGGGUUUGGAAAAAGGCGGCUUAAUGAAAAAAGGCGCCUUUUUUUUUUUUCAUCAAAGCUCUAGCUGUGCGAAAAUCCACUUCGCACACAUCGAUCCAUCAACCAAAAUCUUCGCGAGUUUCACCUUCACAGGAACAUAACCCAGGUUCCCCGCUAGCGCAAAUUGAUCUUUUGAUCAAAUUCACUAUCCGAUUCCUAAUAAAAAACAAAAAAAAUCACUAUCUUUCUUCCUCCUAAUCUCUCCCCAGUUUUCGCCUCUUUUUAUCUCAAAAACCCUAGAUUUAUCUUUGUUAGAUGUGCCCUCGUCUAACAAGUUUGGUGCAAAAUCGGCCGGUCUGUUAACCUGAGCCCAAGAGGCACCUAUUGGUCUCGUUAGGUCUGAGGCUUUUCAUCUGAAUCUGCCCGGGUAGUCAGCCAAACCCAUCAACACCACCUUGAACCAUCAACAUCGUCCACUUAGCUUACCUUGCUGAUCCGUGUUUAAAUGCUAUCUCGUGAGGCGAAAGGAUGGGAUUGGGGCUCAAACUAGAUUACCCUUGUUCAGACUCCUUAAGAUACGAAGAAGCGAAGUGUUUAAAAGGAUCACAGCCAUCACAGAACAUGUUAUUUUCUCCAUCAACAAUAGAUUGAAGCCCUUAAAUCUCUGGGGAGCUGGUUGCAGCAGUACAGGCUUUAGAUCCUACAAAUGGAGAUAGACUUGAAAAGGAGAAGCAAGCAUUCGUCAAAGUUCUUGGGAAAAGGCCCAAAUAUAUUUGUGGCUUGGGGUGUGGAGUGAAACCCCCACCAGCCCGUCCUAAUGCGGAGCUAGAGAAUGAAAAAAAGACUUAGGAUUGCAGCUGAAAAGAAAUAUGCUAAUGUUAUUGAAGUAAUCAAGGAUAUGGAAACCAAUAUGGAGCAAAGAUUAGAAGCUAAGAUGAGUAUGAUUUUAAAGGGGUUGCUCUCUCAAAGCAAUGUUCCACCACCAAGCUCUCCAUAAGAAACAAUUGUGACUGAAUAUAUGGAAACAAUAUUUGUGGCUUGGGUGAUCAUUAUUUUUGUUGAACAUGUGUUGAUUAUAAGCUUUGGUGAUCAUUAGAACAUAUGCUACUGAAUUGUAUUUUUGUUAUAAAUAUCGGUUUGGUUAUGAACCAUUUUUGUUGUUAUAAAUAUCGGUUUGGUGAUGAUCCAUUUUUGUUGGUAUUGAA